rnacentral:rRNA from 1 species
UAGUGAGUUUGAUCCUGGCUCAGGGUGAACGCUGGCGGCGUGCCUAAGACAUGCAAGUCGAACGCAGUAGCUUGCUACUGAGUGGCGCGACGGGUGAGUAACACGUAACUGACCUACCCGUAGUCCCGCACAACGGUCCGAAAGGACCGCUAAUUUGGGGAUGUGAACCCGCACCGUGGUGCGUGUUUAAAGAUUCAUCGCUAUGGGAUGGGGUUGCGGCGCAUCAGCUCGUUGGUGAGGUAAAGGCUCACCAAGGCAACGCGCGUAACCGGCUGGAGAGGGUGUCGGUCACAGGGGCACUGAGACCACGGGG